CUUAAUGAUUUCCGGGUUAAAAAAAUUGCCACAGACCCCCCUCCACCUCCAUUUGACCUCGCGCGCAGCUCCUCUGUGACGGCGCCCCCACCUCCAUUCGACAACCCCGAACAGCACCUGAAGACAGUAGCCCAGCCGCCGUUCGACCCCAGGACAACAACCCCGCCAUUAUUUCGACAUCCGCAACAGAUCUUGUGAUUGGAAUAGGAAGGAGAAAGAUCUAAAGAAGCGCAGCAGCAGCCGCAAAAGAAAAAAAGCAUUCUUCAAGAAGAAGAUCGUCUGAAUCUAGUUCAUUGUCAAGCUCAUCAGAGGAUUCUUCUAGCAGUGAUGAAGAAGAGAAGGAAGCAAGAAGAUCCAAAGAUGGCUUGCUGAAUGGCCACAUGAAAGAGACAGGAUGCAAUGAGUUUGUAGCUGAAAACUAUAUUGAGACAAGAUAUAGUUUUCUUUGAUAAAGAGACCAACACAAGCGAAAUUGUUGGCAUUAUGUUUGGUGACACUUUUUUUUAAUCCAAGUUGCAAUGGGAGAGAAGGUGGUGGUGGUGGUGCUCGUGAUGAUGAGGAUUGGAGAUUGUAUUUUAUAUUAUGCAAACAAAGCAGUUUGAUGAAUGCAUAAAAGAAGGUUCCGAGGUAUUGGGAUAUGAUGUGAAGAAUGUGAAAGCACUUUACCAUAAUUAAUUGUUACAUCAUAUAAGAGGGACCAUAGAAUAUAUAUAUUGAUUGUUGUAUGUUCAUUUGAUUUUGAUCAACAGUAGCAGUUUUAUAAGCUUAGGACACACAAGUAAUCCCUGGAUUAAGGUACUGUAUCAGCUUGCAUAUAUUAUGAUUCUUGAACCAUUUAUUCCCUACAUUAAGUCAAUGUUGUAGAUUGAUGAUCAUGGAGAUUAAUUGUCAUUGAAAGCCUACUUUUUUAUGUUAAAUUUCUAAAAAAUUUACUGUGAAAUGUAUUGUUAUGAACUUAUGGCGUAUACUAUGUGGAAGUUCAGUACAUUUCGAAGAGCUGUAACUAGUAGCCUAUAAUCUGGCUAAAUGGGCAGGAAGAACAGGUGCCAUGGAGAGCUGAACAAUGAACAUAUCCCUACAUGCAUAUUCCAAGACCACAAGGAGUUUUAGUAAGGCACAUCUUUCACAGGUUUGCAACUGGAGUGGACACAUAAAGCUUAUUCAGAUGGUACGUGAUCCCUUAAGCUGAACUUUGAGGGGAAUAUCUGAGUAAAAGUUUAUAUGUGUACAUGUAGCUAAUCUUUGCAAUUGCGUAUUCCAAUUUAUUUAAAAUUGUUUCAGGUUUGUACUAUUCCAAUAGGAACAUUGGAUGCUACAAAGCUUCUAUGUUUGUAUGUUUGUAUUAUUGGAUGGAUCUUGGUCUUAUUUCUAAUAUAUGAUUUUAUUAUUGAUA